ACAACCCUAAGUCCAAAGGCAAAUGAGAGUGUAACAUUAUCAUGUUUUGUCUCUGGUGGAAAUAGUGUAAUAUGGUGGAGAAACGGUCAGAAUAUUACUACAGCGAACAAGUUUGAAUACAGCGGAGGAACAGUGACCAAACCAUCACUGACCAUCUCAAAAGUAAAAAGACAUCAUUCUGGAAAUUACACAUGUGGAACAUCAUACGGAUCUGUAACAGCGACCAGCGAUGGUCAACUACAACUUAGUGUAAAAGGUACUGAAAUAGUUCUUUGUUCAAUAUUGAUUGAUAAGUGUUGCGAAUGAUACCAAAGCGAUAUUCAAACUCAUAAGUCGAAAAAACACUUAAACGUGAGGGCAAAGAAAUUAAAAAAUUUAAAAAACUGUGUCGCAAAACACAACACAGAUAACUAAAUACUGAGGAAUACGAGCCCUACCAAAAUAUUGGGGGUGAUCUGAAGUCUUGUGAUGGGGAAAAGAUUGUGCUCCACAUGUAACCCGGCACAUGCGUGCCUAAGUGUAUUGUCGUUAACCAAGUAUAAGUUUUCUCUAGAUGUACAUACACAUGUAAUGCCUUUACUUUUUAUUUAUUUAAGGUAGCACAUACAAAGAUUUAUUUACUUCCAAUCACUAACAUUUGAAACACUGUAACUUUCUUAUGAAUGCAUAGAAAAUAAUAAAAGAGGUAUAUAUAGAUAGAUGAAAGAUUAAUCUUUUAAAUAAAUGCAAUAUUUUUAUUAUGCAAUCAUUAUGUAAUCAAUUAUUAAGUAAUAAGUGGCAAAAUCUAGAUAAGUUCACUUGAAUGGAUUUAGCUCUAUCAACUCUAUAGCUAUACAAAAAAAAUUAACAAAAUCUUAAUCAACACAUCAUGGGCUUCAAAAUAGUGUCUCAGAUUGCCUCUAUGGUAUUCCAUUCUCUCAUAAAUAUCUGAUUAGUGUAAACAUCCUAACAACAUAAAACAUAAACAUAUAAAAUAUAACAAUAACAAAGAGUAAUCUGUAAGCUAUCCAAAACUACCACUUUUAUAAAUUUUCAAGCAUUAUUAAGAAAGUUACAGCAUUUUAAAACUUGGGAGUUGGAGUUAUAAAAUCCUCGUAUUGUGCUACCUUUAUUUGUCUUGUUUUUAUAAAAUUUUCAAACUUUACUUAUUUUUUUUAGAAAAUUUUAGGUCACUGUUUAUAAAUCAUACUCAGAUUUUAUGUGGUUUACGUACUUUGGUCCAAAAUUUGUAAUAAAUUUAUCAGAUUAUAUUUUUUCCUACAGAUAUUCCACUAGUGCUUCAAAAGUCAAAUAAUAUCCAAGGUCUUACUGGAGAUGUUAUUCAACUCAAAUGUAACCACGAGUCUUACCCUAAACCAACAUUAGUAUUUUGGAACAAAGAUGGUGAACGUCUUAAUGUAUCAGUUUCUAAAUAUAAUGGGAGUACAAUUAUUGAACCAUCUUUGACUAUUUUUAACGCAAAUCAGUUGGAUGCUGGUAGUUAUGUAUGUGCUGUAGUCAAUGAAAUAGGAACCGGGUACAGUAGCAACAUUCAACUUAUGAUAAAAGGUAAAAUAUCAAUAUUUUAAACUAAAGUUAGUAUAGUAAUAAAAUGACUUUUUGAUUUUGCAUUUUGGUUAUAUAUACAGAAAAAAAGAAGAUGUCUAUAAAGUUUGACAUCAUCAAAAAUUAAACAGCCAACGGAACGAGCGGAAAACAACUGUCCUACUCCUGAUUUUAAUGAAAAUGGUGGAUUAAACUUGCUUGUAUGACAUCUGUUUAUCGUUCUGUUAUAUUGACAAAAUUGAGUGAGCAACAAAAACAGCGAUACUAGGUUCAUUUGACUAUAAUUGGCCUGCAAUCCAGCAGCUACAACUGUGUAUAUAUACAUCACAGUAAUCUAACGCAACUAAAUAAAAAAAAUCAAACAAACAGAAAAAUGCCGGUAAACAUCUGUAUUUAAUGAUAGUACAAACCGUAUACAUUAUACAAUAUCUCGAUUAUGUACAAAUAAAAUGAAAUAUCAAUGCAUGAUAGAGUUAAUACAAAAAGUGAAAUUUGUGAAGUAAAUGAAAAGAAAAACUAAAUCUUAAACUCAAGACCAUCUAGUGGUAUCUGUAAGUAGACCCUGAAUAAAUAUAAGUCUUCGUGUGUAUACUCUCCGCUGAACAUUUUAUGAAAAGAUACCAUGCGUUCUUUGAAAAAAAGAAGACUCAUUAAUUGCUGCUCAGACACCGCGGACGUUUUUACAAAGUCUGCUAGAAAGCUGCAAUCUCUUGAAUAUCAUAUGAGUUGAGAAUUACAUACUAGUAUUACAUAGUUGAAUAUUGAUGCAUAGGUGAGAAACAUUAAUAAAUUAAAAAUUUAAAUCGUAUCUUUCGACAUAGAUUCUGGUAUUGGAUGACAUGACAACUGUUGUUAAAUUCGAGGUAAAUGCAUAGAAAUGAGUCGGAAAAAAUCUGUAGUAUCUCAUACCUCUUAUUUGGGAGAAUGUAUUAAUUAGUCGGGCCUUUCAGAAAAAUAAGAUUGCUAAAAGAAAGAAGAUCAUCAAUUUACCCCUUUGUGAAAUUAAUAAUCUAGCUCAUUUGAUGUUCAUGUCUGAAGGCAUUCAGAGACUCAUAUGAAAAUGAAAAAAAAUCGACCAGUUGGAAUGCUCAGUUGGUUCCAUAAUACUACCGGCAACUAGCAUUAAAUACAUAUUGAAAAAGGAACUCGAUUAUACUUGUCUGCGUUGUAGCAUGUUUUAUUUUCGGACUCAUUUUUAACACAAUAUGUGAAUGUAUCCCAAAACAAUACAUGCAUACGGUACCAUUUUAUGGCGGAAACUAUUGUGGAUUAGAUAAGAUAUAUAGAGAUACACGUUAAUUAUUAGUCAACCAAACGACACGAACAGCAAUGAGCAUCUAUUUAGCAUAUAGUCCUCUAUAAUAAACUAGUUCAAAGGUAAAAAGAUAGCAUAGCCGUCUAAUAAAGAAACGGAAAACGCCUAUUCUAUUACAUUCACUAGAAAAGUAUACAUUAUUUUUUUUAUUUGCUGUGUUUAAGUAUAUUUAAAGCUUUAAUUAUUGAUAAAUUAUUAUUUUCAGAUCCAGAAAAGACAAAUGGUGCUUUAGCAUCAGUAGCUGGUGGUAUUAUAGGAGCAAUAUUUGUACUCGUUGUUGUAUUCAUCAUUUGUAUUGUGAUUCGACGGUAAGUAUAUAAUGUGUUGAAAAACAUAGAUUUUAAAAUGAUUCACCAAUGCCAUGAUUUGUGGCAUAAUGGUCAUGAUAACUUUGACGGGACAGGAUUGUUUUUUUAGGUCCAGAUCUAUCUACGCGGACAUUUUCAGACCAAUCAGGCAACCUGUCGUUGGAAUGCUUCCCCUGAAAAAGUAAUUUUGAGCUUUACAUUUGCAGCUUUUGUUUAUUAUCUUGAAUAUUAUUAUAGAUAUAGAUAAACUGUAAACAACAAUAAUCUACAGCAAAGUAAAACCUAGAAAGGAGCCAACAUGACUACCAUGGUCAAUGAGUUAUUUCCCUUUAUAAUGAUUUUUUAACAACUUUCAAUUUCACCAAAUAUUUUCCACUGUUACUACUGGGCAAAGUUCAUUAUAGAUAGAGAUAAUUGUAAGCAGCCAGAAUGUUCAGUGAAGUAAGAUCUUCAAACACAUCACCAUCACCAAAACACAAUUUUGUCAUGAGUCCAUCUGUGUUCUUUGUCAAAUAUACACAUAGACCAAGGAGAGCGACACAGGCUCUUUAGAUCCUCUGGUUUUUUAAGAGAUGAUGAAAUAAAUAAAACAAAGAAGAAAAGUUUACCUCAUUUGUUCUCCCUUUGCUUUAUCUUAAAUUUCAAGUUUGAUUGAUUUAACCCGAUAUUCGUUUUUUUUAAUGGCACAAAGAAGACGAAAUGCAAAUAAAAAAGACACAAAGAUUUUGACCAUCAAGCGUGAAAAGACUGAGCAGGCAGUUCACUAUAAACCAGGUAUAUAAAUAUAUUAAUGUUUAUUUAUUAUAACAAACCGGAGUAUUAUUGUUUUACGCAUAAGGGAAUUCAGUCCUUCAAUCUUACCACAUAUAAUUAAUCAAUAUCUGAAUCUUAUUUGUACGUCGUUUUUUGAGCCUGUACAACCUUGAAAUGAAAUGAAUAUAAAAGGUGUGCAAGCUAACACUGUAAUUAAAUCUUUGGAUAUUGUUUUGCCGCUUUGAUUAUUUAUUUUGUUGUAAAUAUAUUAAAAUGUACUUAAAUGAUAUCCCUUUACACCUAUUGACCUUCACCGUGUACCUAAUGUUUAAAUCUAUGGUUUGGCUUUGUACAUGGUUAUGUUUUCGCAUCUAGCGUAUUGAAUUUUAAACCUGGUACCUUUCGUUAGCUAGUAUUCGUAGGUUUCUCUGUCCUAUAUGUUCUUUUGUGUAUUUGCAUUGUAGUCCUAUCAUGUUAUGUUGUCAUUUUAAUGUUAUAUUUAACAUUGCAAUAAACGCGGGAGGUUGGGCAUGCUACAAAACCAGGUUCAACCCACCUAUUUUUUUCCUGAAAAUGUCAUGUACCAAGUCUGGAAAAUGGCCAUUGUUUCAUUAUAGUUUGCUUUUGUGUGUGUUACAUUUUACUAAUGUGUUUCUGUUGUGUCGUAGUUCUCCUCUUAUAUUUGAUGCAUUUUCCUCAGUUUUUGUAACCUGGAUUUGUUUUGUUUUUUCAUCGAUUUAUGAAUUUCGAACAGAGGUAUUCUUCUGUUGCCUUUAUUUUCUCCGAAUGUUUAUUGUUUUAAAACUACAUCCAUUGAUUGUGAAUGAGUACUGAUUGACGUUGUGGGCUUAGAUAUAUGACAACAGAGAAGUUCAUAUUCAGAGUUGUAGAAUUAUAGAGAAUAAACAAUAUAUAAAUGUCAUGUAAUAUAUAAACUAACAAAAUUAUAAAUAUACUACUUGAAGAUACCUUGGUCUUAAGGUACUAACAUGCAGGUCUCUUUACUGAAAUAUCUGUAGCAGUGAAGAAAUCUGUUAACAGCAUGUGAUAUAUUGUUGUUGAAUAAAAAGAAAAGGCUUAGAUAUAUGAUUUCUUAAUGGGUUGUUCGAGUAACUGCGAUUACUCUCAUAUUUGUACUUUGUGUCUUUGUUGCUUUUUUUUGCUGCUUCCUUUUUGUGCUUUGUAUUGAUCUGCUGAGUUAAAUCUUUUGUAUUGCUUCUUCAGAAAAUUGAGAAUGGAAAAUGGAAAUCUGUCAAAGAGACAACAACCCGACAAAAGAACAAAUAUUGUAGGGGAUGUUUGGUUAUAAUAUUACACGAAUGUAUAAUAUAAGGGAAAGUUAAGGCGCCAGCACAUAAGUUUAACCCCUCUGUAUGUGUCUGUCUUAAGUUGUGAGCCUUUAGCUCUGUGGUUGUUGGAUGUUACACGUCUCCUGAAUGGCUGAGAGUGUUUUGUCUAACAGCUGAUAUACAUAAUUGUGGCAUGUCACCGUGACGUCAUCAACCUAUUUUUUUCAUGAUUGACUCCAACUUGAAAUGGAAUUGAGAAUUAAACUAUAGGAAAAGGCUGUCAUAUUUUUUCUGUCUUAUCGAAAUGGCAUUGAAAAACGUAUGGACACUUUUCUACAUAGGAUUAUGUAUGUACCAAGUCAGAAAUAUGACAGUAGUUAUCCAUUCGUUUUAUGUGUUUGAGCUUUUGAUAUUGCCAUUUGAAUAUGGGAAUUUCUGUUUUGAAUUUUCCCUUGUAUUGUUGUAGUUUUUCCUUUUAAGAUAACCUGCUAUGCGAGUUGUUCAAUGUACAACACAUGUUUGAUAUUAUUUCUUCAUAUACGGUAAAAAAAAAAGUAUAGUCAUUGCUCGAAUAUACCCCAUUCUUUAAGUUGCAAUCGAGUUUAUACAAAUGUCUGUGGUUGAUAACACUAUUAUUGCGUCAGUAAUUAUAACAUCUAUCGGAUUUAUAAUAUACAUGCAAAUAAUCUGGUUUGUUGAUAUUUGAAGGUUGUUAUCCCUGUUAAUAUCUUUUUCCAAGCUGAAUUUAAGAAAUGCAACUUUUCAGAAACAAAAGGUCAAGGGGAUAUGUACAUGAAUAUAGGCCGUGUUUCAUCAACUGACACCGAUGAAGAAGAAGCGCCUUCUUUAAUGCUGAUGAAACCGAAUCCACACAAAGCUGGAAAGAACUCAAGCCAAAAGACAAAAUCAAAAUUUGGAAAUGAAAAUCAAUCUACUAAACAAAACUAUAUAACGCAACCGACCACCUUAGACAGAAACCUAGACAAUGGCAAUGAUGAUUCAACGUAUUAUAACGUAGAUGAUAUAAUCACAAGUGUAAGAGUCAGUGAACUGAAAGAUUAUAUUUUCAAAAGAAAGUCGAAUGUAAAUGGCAAGUUAGAAGAUGAAUAUAAGGUAAGUAGAGUUUAAAUUGGAUACUCCACAAUCCUUGUUUGAUAAUAUGUCACUAAAAAUGACAUAUUUAAUUAGUUAUCAAAGGUACCAGGAUUAUAAGUAGUACGCUAGACGCGCGUUUCGUCUACAUAAAACAUUUCAGUGACGCUCAUAUCAAAAUAUUUAUAAAGUCAAACAAGUACAAAGUUGAAGAGCAUUGAUCAGGAUCCAAAAUUCCAAAAUCUUGUGUCAAAUACGGCAAUGGUAAUAUAAAUUACUCUCUCUUGUUGUUUAAUGUUACGAUAUUUGAUGUGUUGAAAAUGAACAAUUAAACAAGAAUGUGAAUUCUUAUUAUGAUCACUAUUAAAGUUAAUUUUGAAACGUUUACCAAAUAGGGCAACAGCAUAUAUUUCUUUUCUUCAAAAAGUGCACAGUUUACCUAGCUUUAAAAUUCUUUCCGUCUACGAUUUCAUCUUCUUCCUUUGAAUUACCCUUUUUCGAUAACGGUAACUAGUCAUAAUAUUAUAUUAAUCUCUUAACACUAGAAAAUACCAUAUGGAGUUCAACACCCCACAACAAAGGCUCAGCUUAAAGAAAAUGUACCAAAGAAUAGAUUCAAAACAACUUUUCCAUGUAAGUAUUUCAAGUUCCUCAUAUUAUCAGAACACAGUUUCUACAUAUGUUUGUUGUAUAUUUAUAUUAACUUGAUGACAAGAUUCUAUAUAUCAAAUUUUAAGUUUUAAUAGAGUAGUGAACUGAUUUGUUGAACAUUUAAGACGUAACUUUAAAUUUAUAAUGAUAAAAGUAACAAUAUUGUAUUUAUUAUUAAGUAAGUCCUGAUUGUAAUCCGGUAAAUGUCAUUCUUUUGUAGACGAUCAUACAAGGGUUGUUUUGGAACCAGGUUAUGGGAUGUCCUCCGAUUAUAUAAAUGCUAACUAUGUAGACGUAAGUAUUUACUUAUCAUUUGAUAUCCAUUUCUUUACCAAGCAUCAAACUAAGGGUAUUAUUUAAUAUAUAGUUAAUUACUCGUUUUUUUUAAUGUAAUCGAAACUUUAGAACGCGACUUUCAUAUUUUGCUUAUAGCGUGAAAUUAAAAAAACUCAAAAGUUCUAAAAUUAUGACAAAGAGUCUGCAUUCCUUAGCAUGUCAAGACGAGUACUCUUUUGUAAAUAUUAAAUCAGUAUAGAUUUAAAAUGAAAUGAAAUUUUAGUCCCGUUUCAAACUUCAGUAAGGCAAAUUGUUGUUAUUGAACUAACUUACAACUGUAUAUGUAGCUUCAUGAAAUUCAUGACCAUCCACAAAAUAAAAUUCUUUACAUUGAUUCAUAGCAUUCUAAUCGUUUAAACGAAUUAUAAGUUUCUUUGUGACAUUUUGUGUCACUCCCGGGUUUAGUGGUGUUCGUGUUGUUUCUUAUUUAUUAUUUGUUACUGCUGAUGUAAAUGUCUUUUGGUUUUAUGAAUCUUUGUUUACUCCUUGGUUUUGAUUGUUAUUUUCUGUAAGGAAAGCUGACUCAUUUACAAUUAUACCACAUCACCUUGUUUAUUGUGUUUUCAAAAAACUAUAUUAAAUGAAAACUCAUUUUAAUUUCAGGGUUUUGAAAAGGAAAAGUGUUAUAUAGCCUCACAAGGUAUAAUAGUUAACAGUCUAAAUAUAUGUCGAUUGACGAUAGCGUAAUGGAUGUACUAGUUUCCAAAACUAAUGUUAUAAUGCUAUGUGGUUUAUCUAUAUAUUUAUCGUCAGCACAUACUCUAAUGCAAAUAAUGAGCAAUGACUCCGGCAUUUUCAUAACUCUUUCAUCGAUAUCAGUUUCAAUGCAGCGCGUGAACAUAAAAAGAAAUAUAUAUAUAUAUAUAUAUAUAUAUAUAUAUGUAAUGAAUCCAUCGGCCCACAGUACUCCAACAAAUAAUGAAGAGGUAAAACAAAUAAAAUGAUACCUUCCUGAGCAAAAAAGUAAAAGAAAGGCUUAAAGUAAAUAAAGUUAAACAACAUGAUGUAUACAUCAGAUAUGAAUAAAUAUUAAACACGUUUACGCUCAAUAACAUUUUCUCAAUUUAAUUUAGUUUUGAUGAUAAGUAUAUGUCAUUUCUGAAAAAAGAACAUCAGCAAUCAAAAAUUAAAAUUUGUACAUUUUGUAUUCCAUCUUACUGUCUUUAACUUCGUGCUAUAUUUGGCCUUUUUAACUUUUUGGGAUUCGAGCGUCACUGACGAAUCUUGUGUAGACGAAACGCGCGUCUGACGUAUAUACUAAAUUUAGUCCUGGUAUCUUUGAUAAGUUUAUCUUAAAUUGUGUAGGUGCAUACACAAUCCGUUUUGCGAAAUAUAUUGGGCAAUGCCGGCAUGCCUCAGUGCAACGACAUCCCACAUUUAUGUCUGUCCGCGUGAAUUGAAGAAUGAGAUGCACGUGACUUCAUCCACAAAACAAAUGGCGCUAUCAUAAAAUUUUGUCUUCGUAAAAAUAGUUUUAAAACCAAAACAAAACAUAUCGCUGUGGCAAAACUGACGAUAAAAAAAAGUAUGAUAGCAUUUAAUAUUUUUAUGCUGACACAUUGAGCCCGCUUAAUAUUCCAUUCCCAGUAUCAAAAAGUAUAAUAUCAUUAAUCUAUGUGUAUCAGCAUAUAUUUAUUAAAUUUAUGAAAGAACUCAAAGUCUCAUUUUGGUAAGGAAUGACAUGAUCAUGUAGUUAAAAAACGACUUUAAUAUUGUUUCUGUCUAUGAAGAAAUAACAUUAAAAAAAAAACGUGAUACACACUGAAUACCAAGCGUAGCGAGUUAUUUCAAAUUAACAGAAAAAAUAUCAUAAUCAUUCCUUAUCAUUUUAUUCUAAAUCGGAGUAAAUCAUUAAAAAACGUUGACGACGUCACAGUCAAAUGACAAAAUUAUGUAUAUGACCUGAUAAUCAAAACACCAUCAGCCAAUCAGAAGACUCGUUCCAUCCAAAAUAAAAUUAUUCUUUAGUGCUGUAUUACAUUUUAAAUGUUUCUACUUAUUUAAGGACCACUGAAGAAUACUAUUAUUGACCAAUGGAGAAUGAUUUGGCAAAAUAAUACAAGAAAGAUUAUAAUGCUGACAAAUCUGAUAGAAGGCCCAAAGGUAAAUGCUAUUAAGUAUUAUUACAUCCAGAUAUUAUAGAAACAGUUUGAAGAUACAAAUUGCAAUAACAGGUAAAUAAGAACCCAGAAAAAAAUAGCACUACACAGAAAACUUAAGAUUGGGCAACAAGUCGGGAAUAAACUAGAACAAAAAGUAAGCAGAUGUGUGUACCUAUUAUAUAUAAUAUAGAAAAACGAAGUCUACCUAAUGCAGAAGUGCUCCGGAAAGUUUUACAUAUUCUACUUUAUACUUGUAUCUAAAGUGUUGCUCAUGUACGUACAAAAUUCUUCUUCAAGUUUCACUCGUAAAAUUGUACUAAAUCUGGUCGAAACUAUAGACUGUUAUUAAAAUUGUAAGUAUAUCAUGAAUUUCAACCACAAUAUUACGGGAUCGUCUAAGUGGUCUACAAAAACCUCUUUCUAAAUUAUUCACAUCCCAUUUUAUCCACAAUCAAAGCUGGGCUUCAAAGUUGUGAAACUACCUAUUGUAGAUGUGGCGGAAAUCAGAUAUGGUUACUAAAAUAUUACUAAGAUCUUUUAGAGUGUAGCCAAUCUGAGACUCUUUCAUCUUACUAUCGUAUUAAAACAUUUUACUUUUCUACCCUUUACACACGUAUUCCUCAUACAAUAUAACUCUGAAUCAAAUAAAAGGUUGUCUGAAACUGAUUUUAUUAAAAUGCUUGAUUUCUUGAUUAGCAACAUUUUUCUAAUGUUUGGAGGACGCGUUUUUAAACAAACGAUUGGGAUUCCCAUGUUAACCAACUGUGAUCCUUCUCUUGCCAACUUCUUAUUUAUUCAUAUGAGUCUUAAAUCAUACAUGCACUUCUUAAGACUACAAAUAAAAAAACAAUAUAAAUGAUAUUCAUGUCAACACCGACCGAAGUGCUGACUACUGGGCUUGUGAUACACUCGGGGAAUACUUAAAAUUCAAACGAGCAGGGUGAACAGAAUUAAACUAUCAAUUAACUUUAUAAAUCAAAAGUCUUUGAAAGUUCUGAAUAAUGGAACCUUGCAUUUAUACUGACUAUUUUACAGUAAAAUAAAAACGGACGUUUGCGGUAUUUUACACUAAAGUAAAUGUAUUUUUUAUCAAAACAAAAUAUUAAACUUGACAUUACGGGUAGAAUAAAAUAUACCCCUAUAUGAAAUAUGUAUCUUGUCUGUGUGUACGUCAAAACUAAUUUUUUAAAUACUUUUUUCGCUAAAAAUAACUAAGCAAAAUUACUGCAUAAGUGGUCAUAAGCCUGACAGAAAUAUUAUGUAUUAUUCGUGGGAACUUUCCUGUCCGGGGAUCUGUUUGACAUCGGUACCUGUUUCCUUCAUGCCAAUAUUUUGGUUAUUGUAGCAACUUCAAUGCGAUAAAAUAUUUUCGUCAAACUAUUUGAAAUACGUGUUGUCAUAUAACUAUCAUGCAAUAGGAAAUAAAAUUUCCAAUUCAUUUAAAUCCUUCAAUUCCCCGGCACAACAUCAGAGAUGUUCUGGCUAAAAUAAUUGAUACUCAUUUUAGAGGAAAUGUGAACAAUACUGGCCAGAAGGAGGAAAACCGAUGACUUGUGGUAACCUUAUUCUCACCUUAUUAACAGAAAAGGAGCGAGCUGCAUAUAUCACGAGAGAGAUACAAGUUGAAGACAAAAAGGUAUGAGAGACAGAAACAAAAUAAUUUAGAAAUAAAUAAUGUUUCCCUUAUUGUUGUUUAGGUAAUACUAUUGAUAACCGGUUGAGGAAUAAGACUACACAUAAAUGAUUCAGAGGACGUUUCUAUAGAUUUGUAUAUAUAUGUCACUUUGUCAAAAUUAAGAGUAUCUAAACCUAAAUUGGUUUUGUUGCAAAUCAUACUGUUUAUAAUGGAUUGCUUUUUAAUGUUCAUUGAUUUAUGAAUGGUACUCAUAAGAUAACUGUCCAAAUGAGUCCACAGGACGAGGAUUAAAGCUUCGGCUUUAACAAUUAGCUAAGUUGAUACCAAUGAUUUUGCGUCAAGUAACUAUGAGCUUCAUUUCUUGUUGCGCGACGGACUCGAAUGUUUAGCCGUCCCUGCAUAGUGAAUCAAUAACAACUCCUCUGUUGUACAAGAAACAUAACUUUUACGGACUUUAUAUACAAGGGAGUGUUCCUGAUAUAAAAAGCUGCUCAAUCGCAGUUAGAACAAAUAGCCUCGAACAUGCAGAUGUAAUAUGGACACCAACGUUGAUUGGUUGAAAAUUCACAUGUACCAGAGAGGUCUUAUAUAGGAUAACUUGUUUGCAAGAAAAGAAGUCUGCACUGAACAUUUUUUAUAUGAUAGUGUAAGUGAAUGUUGAUUUGGAAGGCGGUGAUACAUGAAUAACAGGAGGUGCUUAACGUAUUGCCACAACCUGACUCGCUAAGUUUAAUUUGAAUGCGAUUCCUUUAUGUUGUAUGCUAAUUUGUUUAUUUCGUAUUACUUUAAAAGACUUGACAAUCUGCUUUCUAACAUUUGAAUGUCGUGUAUGUUGUUUUAUCUAUGCAAAUUUUUUUUUUUUAAAUAUGAAUAUUGAGAAUCAAAAUAUUUUUACCAUCAAUUUGCAAUAUUGCUGUUUUUGUGUUUAUACAAAUGUUAUACGUGAAACAAAUAAUAUUAUGUUUAUUAUAAUAUUUUGUAUUUGUAUUUUUUAUAUUAUAAAAACAGACAAAAGAGAAGAGAUGUAUUAUCCAGUACCAUUUCACAGCCUGGCCUGAUCAUGGAACACCAGAUCCUCUGUACCUGGUAUUGUUUCAUAGGCAUGUCAUAUCAGAUCAUACAAGUACUGACAAUAAUGGACCAAUUCUUGUUCAUUGCAGGUAUGAAUAUGAAUAUGAAUAUGAACAUUUUUUCCCGCGGUUCGCAUGUAUAUCAAAUGUAUUUAUUUAAAAACACCUCAAUAAUUUCUAAUGCCGAUACAACCCGUUUCAACAUGUUCACAUGAAAGAAUUAAAAUUUCUGAAAUUGGUUUAAAAUUAAAUUAAUCAUAAUUGAUUUUAAGUGACUGUUUAUAGAUUUUCUUGUCGUAUGCUUUCAACAUAGUUUUUCAUUCAAUUUCAUUUUCAGUAAAUAAAAUUGUUAUAUACGACUACUGCCAAAUCAUAUAGGAUUCUCACUCAGUGUCUUAAAUAAAUUGAUGAGUAAAUAAAAUUGUUAUUUAUAACUACUGUCAAUAAACAGUUAGGAUUCACAUACAGUGUCUAAAGUAAUUUGAUAAAAUUUUGUUUACAAAUAGUGCUGGUAUCGGUCGAACUGGCACAUAUAUUGGACUUGAUGCUUUACACGAAGAAGGACUUGCCACUG
rnacentral:lncRNA from 1 species